rnacentral:rRNA from 1 species
AUUGAACGCUGGCGGCAUGCUUUACACAUGCAAGUCGAACGGCAGCGAGAGAGAAGCUUGCUUCUCUUGUCGGCGAGUGGCGAACGGGUGAGUAAUACAUCGGAACGUACCCUGUAGUGGGGGAUAACUACUCGAAAGAGUAGCUAAUACCGCAUACAACCUGAGGGUAAAAGUGGGGGACCGCAAGGCCUCACGCUAUAGGAGCGGCCGAUGGAAGAUUAGCUAGUUGGUAGGGUAAAGGCCUACCAAGGCGACGAUCUUUAGCGGGUCUGGGAGGACGAUCCGCCACACUGGGACUGAGACACGGCCCAGACUCCUACGGGAGGCAGCAGUGGGGAAUUUUGGACAAUGGGCGAAAGCCUGAUCCAGCAAUGCCGCGUGAGUGAAGAGGGCCUUCGGGUUGUAAAGCUCUUUUGUUUGGGAAGAAAUCCUAACGGAUAAUACCUGUUGGGGAUGACGGUACCAAAAGAAUAAGCACCGGCUAACUACGUGCCAGCAGCCGCAGUAAUAC